GGAGGGAAGAGCUCAGUGGUAGAGUGUGUGUCUAGCAUGCACAAUGUCCUGGGUUCAAUCCCCAGUACCUCUA
rfam:Camelus ferus unplaced genomic scaffold scaffold877, whole genome shotgun sequence.